UACGGGGGGGCAAGCGUUGUUCGGAAUUACUGGGCGUAAAGGGCUCGUAGGUGGCCAACUAAGUCAGACGUGAAAUCCCUCGGCUUAACCGGGGAACUGCGUCUGAUACUGGAUGGCUUGAGUUCGGGAGAGGGAUGCGGAAUUCCAGGUGUAGCGGUGAAAUGCGUAGAUAUCGGGAAGAACACCCGUGGCGAAGGCGGCUCUCUGGGACGGUACUGACGCUGAGACGCGAAAGCGUGGGGAGCGAACAGG
rnacentral:rRNA from 1 species